AGAGUGAACGCUGGCGGCAGGCCUAACACAUGCAAGUCGAACGGCAGCACGAGAGAGCUUGCUCUCUUGGUGGCGAGUGGCGGACGGGUGAGGAAUACGUCGGAAUCUGCCUUUUUGUGGGGGGAUAACGUAGGGAAACUUACGCUAAUACCGCAUACGACCUACGGGUGAAAGCGGAGGACCUUCGGGCUUCGCGCAGAAAGAUGAGCCGACGUCGGAUUAGCUAGUUGGAGGGGUAAUGGCCCACCAAGGCGACGAUCCGUAGCUGGUCUGAGAGGAUGAUCAGCCACACUGGGACUGAGACACGGCCCAGACUCCUACGGGAGGCAGCAGUGGGGAAUAUUGGACAAUGGGCGCAAGCCUGAUCCAGCCAUGCCGCGUGUGUGAAGAAGGCCUUCGGUUGUAAAGCACUUUUGUACGGAAGAAAGCAAUCGGUUAAUACCCGGUUGUACGAUGACGUACCGAAGAAUAAGCACGCUAACUCGUGCAGCAGCCGCGUAACG
rnacentral:rRNA from 1 species